rfam:Gossypium hirsutum cultivar TM-1 chromosome 15, whole genome shotgun sequence
AAUCUGUUAUGUGGACAUUUUUGAAUCAAAAUUUUGAAGCGUUCCCACACAUCAUAAAAGCUUUCUCCUUCCAUCUGUCUAAAGACAAAAAUCUUUCUCCUUAAUUAGACU